ensembl:lncRNA
CGUCUUCCACCUGGGAGGGACUCUAUCGGCCGGUCUUUGGCUGGUGUUCUGAUGGAUGUUCCCUCCCGACCCAAGUGGAUUUGCCUCUAUCGGGGGAGCCCCUUUCGGAAACGUUUGCCCCCUAUUUCGAUACGCUCCAGCCGCGCAAAGUUCGUGCGAGGUCGAGCCGAACUGUCUGACCAAGUGGCCCUCCAUUGGUGUUCCGGUGCGGGGAGUGGCACACUCAGGCUGCGAAGCAUGUGGUGAUGGUCAUCCCGUAACGCAUCGGCGCCAGAAACACGUAUUCUCAAACCCUGUCUUUAAACGUGGACCUACCCGGUUGACCCAAGCGGUCUAUCCGAGGUUGUGGUUCCUUUUGCCCAGUUGAUGGCGUUCCGAAUAGGCGCUCCAGCUAGACAAGAGACCUCUCGAGCGGCGCCCGGCACCUGUGGCUCCGGCCAUGGGCAUGCCAGGGCCUCCUCCCCUGACGGGAUAGGAUCGGUCCCUGGUGUUGUUUGCUUCGAGUGCCCAGGUAC